rnacentral:rRNA from 1 species
UACAGAGGGUGCAAGCGUUGCUCGGAAUCACUGGGCGUAAAGCGCACGUAGGCGGAUUGCUAAGUCAGGGGUGAAAUCCUGGAGCUCAACUCCAGAACUGCCUUUGAUACUGGUGAUCUUGAGUCCGGGAGAGGUGAGUGGAACUGCGAGUGUAGAGGUGAAAUUCGUAGAUAUUCGCAAGAACACCAGUGGCGAAGGCGGCUCACUGGCCCGGUACUGACGCUGAGGUGCGAAAGCGUGGGGAGCAAACAGG